CUUGCUUUACUUUGCGUUAUCUGAUGAGCAUUAACUUUCGCCCCUAUCUGAAAUUGAAACUUCUCAUGUUGAAUGCGAGAUUGGUCUUACUGAAAAUAACGCAAAAUCGGAAAUCUCAUUUGAGUUGCUUGAUUAUCUGCUGACCUCUUAUUAACUUAAUUUUUGUUUCCAUUUCUUGUAGCUUGGAAUUCUACUUUAAGGACAAAGUGGAGCGACAGUGAACAUAAGAUCAGCGGAACAAAAUCUAUAAACGUGCCUCGAAUAAACAUAGGAAUUAAGAUUGGUUAAUCAUGUAACGCGAUAUAUGGACUGAAUUUUCAAUAAAAGAGAUGGGCUCACAAGAGAUUUAUUGAAAAACAUUAAAUACCACAGGAAUUCAUAAAGUUCGCAUGGCAUGUUGUUGAAACAACAAGUUGUGCUUUUGGCGACUUUCCACUGACUUUGCUACAAUUCAAUUCCGUUGCACGCACUUUUUCAGGUACAGCACUGUCCAAAACAUCAUAUUGUUAGAAUCCUUUGAAAAUCAAAUAAAAGAAACAAAAGCA